rnacentral:rRNA from 1 species
AAUAUUGGACAAUGGGCGAAAGCCUGAUCCAGCCAUGCCGCGUGUGUGAAGCAGGUCUUCGGAUUGUAAAGCACUUUAAGGUGGGAGGAAGGGUUGUAGGUUAAUACCCUUCAAUUUUUACGUUACCAAUAGAAUAAGCACCGGCUCACUUCGUGCCACCAGCCGCGGUAAUACGAAGGGUGCAAGCGUGAAUCGGAAUUACUGUGCGUAAAGAGAGCGUAGGUGGUUCGGUAAGUUGGAAGUGAAAGCCCCGGGCUUAACCUGGGAAUUGCUUUCAAAACUGACGAGCUAGAGUACGGUAGAGGGUAGUGGAAUUUCCUGUGUAGCGGUGAAAUGCGUAGAUAUAGGAAGGAACAUCAGUGGCGAAGGCGACUACCUGGACUGAUACUGACUCUGAGGUGCGAAAGCGUGGGGAGCAAACAGG